rnacentral:sRNA from 1 species
AAUAAUAAAUGAAGGCGCAGUAUUCUAGUCAAACGAAUUUACUUGGAAGGUGUUAUUUAAUAAGCAUCGUCGGGCACAACUGUGAAGUUCCUGGUGCUUGCCUUGAUUGCCCAAAUUGGGGCACUUGCUGGGAGUUAAGAUUUUUGGGCGUUUUAUAACGGCAUAUAAAAUCCGACCCAAUUAUCGUGGAGACCCAAAAGGGUGCAUAAAUUUUUAUGUACUCUCUGGGGUAGAACCUGCAAUGCGGUCAACGGCUGUGUGCAGCGUAGCCUGCUUUGAGUGGUUUUUUAGGAAUUGCACGCCAAAGUUAUUAUAAUGACUGACGUCAACAAUUAUGGUAACUUUGUGCAUGAAAUAACGACUGCAAAAAGAGCUAAGAGUAAAUUUAUUUGUCAAGGAAAACUUCUAGACUGUUGAGAUAAUACUCAAAUAGGGUAGGGAUUAUAGUGUGGUCUAAGUGGCGAUUCGGUGUUAAUGUUUUGCUUAAAAGGAAACUGCUUAUUCGGUGACGGUAAGUGCAAAAUUGGGAAAUCCGACCGAACCUAUGCCGCAAGGUUUACUUAUC